GUAGGUGGCAAGCGUUGUCCGGAUUUAUUGGGCGUAAAGCGGGUGCAGGCGGUUCAAUAAGUCUGAUGUGAAAGCCUUCGGCUCAACCGGAGAAUUGCAUCAGAAACUGUUGAACUUGAGUGCAGAAGAGGAGAGUGGAACUCCAUGUGUAGCGGUGGAAUGCGUAGAUAUAUGGAAGAACACCAGUGGCGAAGGCGGCUCUCUGGUCUGCAACUGACGCUGAGGCUCGAAAGCAUGGGUAGCGAACAGGAUUAGAUACCCUGGUAGUCCAUGCCGUAAACGAUGAGUGCUAAGUGUUGGGAGGUUUCCGCCUCUCAGUGCUGCAGCUAACGCAUUAAGCACUCCGCCUGGGGAGUACGACCGCAAGGUUG
rnacentral:rRNA from 1 species